GCACUCAGCCUAGAGCUUACAGCGAGUGCAUUUCACAGCUGAAACAUCACUGCUUUAAAACACAGAAUCAUGCUACCCCUUCAUAAGCAGAGGGGGAGGAGGUCAAACAGUAUGUUUUUGCCAAACGUUUGCUUUAUCUGAACUCUAUCUAGUAUGAAGGACUGGCUGCCGCAGGCAAUAACACAGAGAGGAAAAGGAACAAAGGAAGAAAAGGGUGCUGGCAGACAAGAUUUAACAAACCUGUCCACUUCCGACAUUUUGAAAGUUUAUAAACAAAGCUCACUUGGGGACACUCAAUUUCCAAAAUGCUGUGACCUCCACAUGUUAUCUAAUUUAUACUGAAAACAAACCUACUAAACUCCACUCCUCAACUACUGAACCUGCUAUUUAUUCAUGGGGUCUUUUUAGCCCAUAUAAGAGUAUAUUUAUAUUCAGAAAUAUAAAAGAAAAAAAAUUUGCUUCAAGUAGACUAAGAAGCUGGACCUUAAAACUACUUUCUUUCUCGUGGGAGCUGAGUAUUCAACUCAGAAAUAGAUGUAUAACUCCAAUAUUCUGACCUGACAUCAAUCUCCAUAAUGUAUACCUCAAUACCCUUAUGAUGUCUCACUUAACACUAAAGGCCAAAUUAUUUUUACCAACCAUCAGCUGACAUUGAGUAAGCAAGUCUUUUGAAGAUUUCAAAAGUAAUAGAUGGUGGCCAGGCGUGGUGGCUCACACCUAUAAUCUGAGUACUUUGGGAGGCUGUGAGGCAGGAAGAUCACUUGAGCCCAGGAGGUCCAGGCUGCAGUGAGCCAUGAUCAGGCCACUGCACUCCAGCCUGGGUGACAGAGUGAAACACUGUUUCUAAAAAUAAAAAUUAAAGAAUAAUGGAUGGCAUUAUUCAGCCAUGGGGAGGACCACCUGAAAUACUGUUACACACAGUGGGUCAAGACCACUUCAAAAGCCUUAUGAAAAUAGCACAACUCAGGCAAGGCUUUUAUUCCACAAAGAAAAUGCAGUACAUUUUUUAGUUCCUUUAAAAAAAAAAAAACUCAGAUUUACUCCAGAGCCUAUGCACUUAGUCACUAAUCUAUACUGCAUCCCCAACCUAUUUUUUCCAUUUGGUUCAAUUUUAUACAUUUAAAACUAACUGCUUUGGUCAAAUACGUACCAUCUUUGGUUCACAUUAAAAGAUUAUGGUCCAAAACUGGCCAGAAGUUAAGAAAUAUCAACAAAAUAGGAAGUUUGAAAUACAAUUUAGGAAUGGAAUGCUUUUAGAGCUUGUUUCAUUGAAGAUAAUAAUUUAUCUCAUAUUGAACUACAUUAACGAUGUUCUGGCUAGGUGCAGUGGCUCACACCUGUAAUCCCAACACUUUAGGAGGCCAAGCUUCUAUUUCAUUAAAAAUAUAUAUCUCUCUCUAGAUUCUUUUUGUAUCUCUUCAUGUUAAGUGCAUGGAAA
rnacentral:lncRNA from 1 species